CUCUGUAUGUUCAACAGUGUUAGCGCACAGAAGGGGGCAUUGCGGUCGGUCUUAAGUGUAGUGGAGGAUGCUACGGAUUCUUCUGGACUGAAACUUCCAGGGGGAGAUAAACAAUAAUGAGAAAUGAUUGAACUCAGCAGGACGGAGGGUAUUCUCUGUGGAUGCCACAAUAGAUGACCCAGAAAAAUACUGAAUCCGGGAAGAUCACAGCAAUCAUCACCUGAUCCUGCAUCGAUCCGGUAUUGUGAAUGUGCAAAGUGUAAUACAGACUUAUGGCUGCCGUGUUCCUCUUCCCUGACACGGCAAAAAAUUCUCUGCCGCUCCAUUUAUCAAAGCUCCUCGCACUGGCACCAGCUUUAAAAUGACCUUCAUUAAAUUGAUAUU